rnacentral:rRNA from 1 species
UACGUAGGGUGCAAGCGUUGUCCGGAAUUAUUGGGCGUAAAGAGCUCGUAGGCGGUCUGUCGCGUCGGAUGUGAAAACCCAGGGCUCAACCCUGGGCCUGCAUUCGAUACGGGCAGGCUAGAGGUAGGUAGGGGAGAAUGGAAUUCCCGGUGUAGCGGUGAAAUGCGCAGAUAUCGGGAGGAACACCGGUGGCGAAGGCGGUUCUCUGGGCCUUACCUGACGCUGAGGAGCGAAAGCGUGGGGAGCGAACAGG